AUUGAACGCUGGCGGCAGGCCUAACACAUGCAAGUCGAACGGUAACAGGAAGAAGCUUGCUUCUUUGCUGACGAGUGGCGGACGGGUGAGUAAUGUCUGGGAAACUGCCUGAUGGAGGGGGAUAACUACUGGAAACGGUAGCUAAUACCGCAUAAUGUCGCAAGACCAAAGAGGGGGACCUUCGGGCCUCUUGCCAUCGGAUGUGCCCAGAUGGGAUUAGCUAGUAGGUGGGGUAACGGCUCACCUAGGCGACGAUCCCUAGCUGGUCUGAGAGGAUGACCAGCCACACUGGAACUGAGACACGGUCCAGACUCCUACGGGAGGCAGCAGUGGGGAAUAUUGCACAAUGGGCGCAAGCCUGAUGCAGCUAUGCCGCGUGUAUGAAGAAGGCCUUCGGGUCGUAAAGUACUUUCAGCGGGGAGGAAGGGAGUAAAGUUAAUACCUUUGCUCAUUGACGUUACCCGCAGAAGAAGCACCGGCUAACUCCGUG
rnacentral:rRNA from 1 species